UCCAACUUUUGAGCAUCAUUUAGAAGACUUUUGAGAAUGAUGUGCUGCCACGUGAUUGAGGUAUGCAAAUCUUUCUGCACAAUAUGUACAACUCAGUCAUCAAGCCUCCAGGACAUGCAUGCCACCCUUCAGAAUAAAAGCUAAGGAGAUGGGCUCUCAUCAUCUGAACUGGAAUAGUCAAUCUGCCUUCCUGCAAUGGCGGGAAAUAAUCUCUGGCGACUAUUUUCAGAUUGCUGACGGUUUUCAAGAGAAGCUGACGAUGCUGGAGUCUCCUUUUUAGAUGUCCUUCUUGGCAUUGUUGCUCUGUCAUCUUUGACAUCUUUACAUGCCUUAUCUAACAUUACCAAGAAAUCAC
rnacentral:misc_RNA from 1 species